rnacentral:lncRNA from 1 species
GGUCUCUUUCUCCAGGCAGAAACUGACAGAACCAGAGGACAGUCUUAAGCUGGGUCAAGGGAAAUACAGGUUGGAUACUAGGAAAAAGAUUUUACAGAUAGGGUGAUAAAGUUCUGGAAUGGUCUGCCCAGGAAAGUGGUGGAGUCACCAUGCCUGGAUGUGUUUAAAAAAAGACUGGACGUGGCACUGGGUGCCAUGGUUUAGUUGAGGUAUUAGGGCAUGUGUUGGACUCAAUCAUCUUGAAGGUCUCUUCCAACCCAGUGAUUCUGUGAUUCUCAACCAGUUCAUCUCUGUUUGUGAAAAUCAGAUCCUGAAGAGCAUCUCUUCUCUUCACCUUCUCAGUCAGCUGCAUCAGAAUUAUUAUUAUUAUUAUUAUUGUUGUUGUUGUUGUUGUUGUUGUUAACUUUGUAAUCCUAUUUUUGCAUUAUUGUCCAUCAAUGCACUCUAGAGGUCUCUUGGAUUGCUCUUUCUAGCUGUAUCCAGGCAUUGCAGCACUCCAGCUGUGUGAGAGUAAUUUGCCUCUUAAUCAGAGAUUUCAAAAAUCAGGCUUCAUCUGCUGAAGAAUUCAAAGGAAUCACAAUGGCAUUGGGAUUACCUGGUUUCCCUUGCAUGUAUCAGCUGCAAAGAAAUGACCAGAUGUGUACAGGGAAACUGAGCCAAGACCUACCUAACACAAGAGGAGACUUUCUGGACUGAAUCUCUCCAGACUGGGCUGCCGGUGACAGGCAGAGAGACCUUGCUGUGUGUGUAAAGCCCAGUCCACAGUAAUGCUCAGUGCCCUGCAGCAAAGGGAUGGUGAUUGUGAUAGCCACAAAUGUUGUGCAUUCUAUUAAAUGGAACCCAAAUGCUGUAACAUUGUGGGGAAAUUAUGACUAGGGUUAUUAUGGUCUGUAGUAUCCUGUAAAAUCUAGCUUUGUUUUUUGAGUCUCAAAGGGUGAAAGCACUUGGAGGAGAUGUAGAUU